rnacentral:rRNA from 1 species
CACGUAGUUAGCCGUGACUUUCUAAGUAAUUACCGUCAAAUAAAGGCCAGUUACUACCUCUAUCUUUCUUCACUACCAACAGAGCUUUACGAGCCGAAACCCUUCUUCACUCAAGCGGCGUUGCUCCAUCAGACUUUCGUCCAUUGUGGAAGAUUCCCUACUGCUGCCUCCCGUAGGAGUUUGGGCCGUGUCUCAGUCCCAAUGUGGCCGAUCAGUCUCUCAACUCGGCUAUGCAUCAUUGCCUUGGUAAGCCGUUACCUUACCAACUAGCUAAUGCACCGCAGGUCCAUCCAAGAGUGAUAGCAGAACCAUCUUUCAAACUCUAGACAUGCGUCUAGUGUUGUUAUCCGGUAUUAGCAUCUGUUUCCAGGUGUUAUCCCAGUCUCGUUGGGCAGGUUACCCAGUGUUACUCACCCGUCCGUCCCGCUCGCUUGUACUCGUUAGUUUCAGUUUUAGUGACUAAGCCUAAACGUUAAAAUCC